UACACACACACACACACACACACACACACACACACACACACACACACACACACACACACACACACACACACACACACACACACACACACACACACACACACACACACACACACACACACACACAUGCACACACACAAAAAUAAACAAACUGUAUAGAGUACAUGCAUACUGUACCACCCCUUAGCAAUGAGCCCCACCCACUCUAGAAAGCUAUGGUGAUGGGGCUCAUUUCUGACUUAGCACUUUACUUUUGUCAGGCACAAACAACCGACUCUAUAGCUCAACUUUGCAAGGUUCACUGAUUCUGCGAUCAAUCUUGUUUUAUUUGUGCAUUAUAUGCACUUUUAACCCUUUCCCGGCUUUGGACGACAUAUGUCGUCCAGCAGACCGAGAUUAUUCAAAAAUGUGCUGUGCAGGCUGUGUUGGAGCUAUGCACACACUGUAGGUACCAGCACAUGCGCAUUGAGCUGCUCUUUCACAUGGUAUUUUCAACAUCUUGCUUCGAGGUACGCUUUGUGCAGUACCGUCGAAAGAAAAGUGACCGUUUGAUGAUGACUUCAAGAUCUUUGUAGUACAACCUCAGUGGGGCUCUAGAGCUGCUAGACAGUGAGAAUAUCGAUGCUUAUGGCCUUGUAGAGUGAGAGGACAGUGACUGGGAUCGUAGCUAGGUAGGAAGCUACCUCAAGCUAAAAAAUAAAGAGCCUGAGGAGCCUGAAGGAGCUGGACCAAGUUUCUGGAUCUGGUGAAGAACGUUUCCCGGGAAAAGGGCGUCUGCUGAUACGACCUCGCAGAGAAGUUUCGGCAGAUCCUGAUCGAACUAUGUCACCGUGAGAACAUUGAGAACACUUACUUAGUGUCUAUAGUCACUUUGUGCCUUCGUAUAAUAUUGUUUGUGUACAUAAUUGUGAAUGUUUGUAAAAAUC